AUAAAUUAUAACGUGAUUAAACUAUAUAAUAUUUCUUACAUGCAAUGCAAAGGGUUGAAAAUAUUGUAACCAAAAAAAAAAGGGUUGAAAAUAUGGCUGAAGUUAUUAAAUUUGUUAAUGUUAUGCUUAUCUUUAUUUCCCUAUUUCCUUUUGCAAUGAACGUUGACGCGAAUAUUAUUAGUUGUACUCAAGAUUUUGAUUGUCAAACAAAGAUAUGCCCAUUUCAUCUUAAACCGAAGUGUAUUGUGUUGGAAAUUCUUCCCCAUUCCUUAUCUGGCGGUAUAUGUGGGUGUGAUUGAGAUGUUCCCUUAAGAUUAUUUUAGAAAAUUCCACAAGUUGUCAUCUAGUUAUAGCGUUUUUUUAAGAAAAUUUUGUUAUUAUAUUUGCACCCAUAAGUUUAAAUUUUUACUUUAUCUAUUUUCACAAUCCUUGUAGUUGUGGAUUUUGUAAUCUAGUCUAAAAUGAUUGUAAAAAAAUUAAAUAAGACAACAAAUAAUAUUAUUUAGAUUUUCUUCUA